GACUGGCUAAUCAGUUAGUCUGUUUUUUAUUCUUGGCCGGCAUGGAGCGUUGACGGUUUGCCGGUUGUUAAACGCGAGAAAGCCAACAACGCAUCAAACCUCCAUUUCCAGCAAUUCACAACCACAGCGUGUUUAAUUGUGCAAUUAGCAAAAGAUCAAAAAGAAACAAACAAAAUGUGGGCGACGCUUGUGGGAAUAAUCAUGCUCACCAUUAACACAGCCUCGGCGGCAACAA